GAUAUGAUAUAAAAAUGUAAGAUAAGUUUUUACACCUUCCAUUACAUUCUUAAACUUACUUGUAUUGAUCAAAAUUGACAGUGGGCUGAGGUAUUAUCGGCUGAUGCUUUCUCAGCAUUUGAGAAUGCUGGGAUGGACAAUGAAAAGUCUUGCAACAGGCUGUCAAAGAGAUUGGUCACAAGUUCCGUGACACGGUUCUUGUUCUAGGAGGUGGAAUCCCGCCACUUCAGGUUUUUGUUCGGUCCCGGGGGCGUGAACCAUCUCCCGAGGCACUUUCUCAGGCACCAUGGCCUUUUAAAGACAACAACAUCGUCCGUUUAGUUUAUACACCUAAUGAUGCAACUAGAUUUGGAGUCUUGGACUAUCGCCAGACAUAAG